rnacentral:misc_RNA from 1 species
ACAUAAAAUAAUUAUUUACUUUUAUUGAAUUGCUAGCCAUCCUACAAGUUUGAGCUUAUGAAAGUUCAUGCUGCUCUUCUUUUUUACAAAGCUAUGUAUGAUUAUUCCAAUCCAGAAAGCUAUAUAUCCACUACAUUCAACCCCAGUUUUUCCCAUCUUUGCUCAGACUCAUCUCAUUUACAACUUGAAAGACUCCAACCAGUUAAUGACAUUUACAGGCAGGGAAAAAGGCCAAGAAAAAACAGUUUCAAAAUUGUUAAAGUUCCUGAUCUUCAGGCAGUAGGGAUGAAAAUGAACGGCUACGUUUACUAGCCAAUGGUGUGUUCCUUCGAGACUGGCGCUUCGUUAGGACCAACGCAGGUUCUUUCUCCCCCUCUUUUGUAGCUUCCUCGUAGUCACUGUCAUCUCCACCUUUGAAGACUGGGUGGAUAUAUGCAUUCUGAAGGAAGCUUUUCAAGUUCAGGUUGGGCUCCCUUGCACGUUCUAAUGUGUCCUUCAUCAUGGCUUCCUGUAGUGGAUAUCUAAUGAAAGCAGGUUCAUAACGUCCUUUGCAGAACCUAUGGAACCAUAUUGUCAAUACUGGAAGUGUAACGAGCAAUGGAGUUGACUGAGCAGCAUGUUUUGUGCUUAACAAUCCCAUCAGUAGCAGUUGUGAGACGACCAGUGCAACUAUAAUACGUCCAUGGACAUCAGGCCAGAAUGCUGCAGCACUCUCGUACUCUUGAUUGUAAACGUUUAUAAUCUGAUGACGAUAAACAACAUAUGCCAAGCCAAAGAACACUAUGAUGAAUGGAAGUAAGAUGGGAGCAACCACUGCAUAAACAAGGCCGAGUAAGAAAUAAAGUUGUAUUUGUGGUUCGCCCGUGUUGAAGCCAAUGGUUCCUGGAUCCAUUGCCUCUUCUCUAUCCUUUUCAGUCUUCACCAAGAAAAAGUUUUUCAAGUGAUAGAUUAUUAAGGGUUUCAAUCUUAGUAUUUCCCCAGCAACUCCAGCCCACCCAUCAACCAUAAUAUAAGUUAUGAAGAACGUUGCUUUCAUAGGAAUUGAGGCACCAAUAGUCUUUGGUAUGUUGUUUGCAGACUGGUGGAUAAAAUUAUUUAGCUGUUGAAAUGCAGUUCCAGUGAUUAUGCU